UCUCUCCAGCAAAGAACGUCGACUUUAGAAGAGUUUUUUGUGGUGUUUGAUCGUGUUUUGGAGGCCGUGAUGAGAAGCAGCGGCGAAGAGCAGCAGAAAGACCCGGAGAGAUGCAUGCAGCCAGGGAUAGCAUUAGCACUGACUUUGGUGUGCAGUUGGUCAAAGAACAAACCUUUUUAGUGACUGCCUUGAGUGUCUUCCUACACUGUAAAUACUGUAAAUAGUUGCUUUUAGUUUUUCAGUAACUUGAUAUUCAUAAUAAUUAGCAGAGAAAAAAAAUGUACAAUUACAAAAUGUAAAAUAAAUAAAUUGUAUUUUGCAUGUUUUGUGUUCAUUCACUCUAAAAUGAUCACUGAUCUGUUUUCAUUAUUAGAAUUGUUCAAAAUAAAUAGUUUAGUUAAAAUGUUAAAAUGUUGUUCUGAAAUAGUUUUGUGUUUGUUUGUGGUUUCAUGGGUAGAUGAGUUCUGAGUUGAUAUACAUAUGUAGUGUAUGUAGUAUGCAGU